AGAGUUUGAUCAUGGCUCAGAUUGAACGCUGGCGGCAUGCCUUACACAUGCAAGUCGAACGGCAGCACGGGAGCUUGCUCCUGGUGGCGAGUGGCGAACGGGUGAGUAAUGCAUCGGAACGUGCCCUGAAGUGGGGGAUAACGCAGCGAAAGUUGCGCUAAUACCGCAUAUUCUGUGAGCAGGAAAGCAGGGGAUCGCAAGACCUUGCGCUUUAGGAGCGGCCGAUGUCGGAUUAGCUAGUUGGUGGGGUAAAGGCUCACCAAGGCGACGAUCCGUAGCGGGUCUGAGAGGAUGAUCCGCCACACUGGGACUGAGACACGGCCCAGACUCCUACGGGAGGCAGCAGUGGGGAACUUUGGACAAUGGGCGAAAGCCUGAUCCAGCCAUGCCGCGUGAGUGAAGAAGGCCUUCGGGUUGUAAAGCUCUUUCGGCGGGGAAGAAAUCGCAUUCUCUAAUACAGGAUGUGGAUGACGGUACCCGAAUAAGAAGCACCGGCUAACUACGUGCCAGCAGCCGCGGUAAUACGUAGGGUGCGAGCGUUAAUCGGAAUUACUGGGCGUAAAGCGUGCGCAGGCGGUUUCGUAAGACAGACGUGAAAUCCCCGGGCUCAACCUGGGAACUGCGUUUGUGACUGCGAGGCUAGAGUUUGGCAGAGGGGGGUGGAAUUCCACGUGUAGCAGUGAAAUGCGUAGAGAUGUGGAGGAACACCGAUGGCGAAGGCAGCCCCCUGGGCCAAUACUGACGCUCAUGCACGAAAGCGUGGGGAGCAAACAGGAUUAGAUACCCCGGUAGUCCAA
rnacentral:rRNA from 1 species